rnacentral:lncRNA from 1 species
CAGACCUGCCGCCUGGCUGCUCGCUCGGUUCUUGUGCGACAGUGAGUCCUGUCCGACUCUGCCUCCGCUGCUGCCCUGCAAACGCCUGGCGCUGAGCUGGGGCGACCAGAGCCACUCACGGUGCUCGACGCAGAGCUGGAGGAAGUAACACCCCUUCUCACGCAAGGAACGGGGCUAAAAGCAAAGCGAUAAUCCUCUGAACAUCGGCUCCCUACGGGGCUACCUAACCCUAGCGGUGCUUCCGAGUGCUACGUCCCGCGGUCAAGAGCGCUGGUCCAGCGCACGGUGCCGGCAGCAGAACCGUCAGCAGAACCGUCAGCCCCGCUGCCUCCUCCCAGCCUGCUCAGUGUGACCUUGUGGACCCGCAGCGCCUGAGAACGCUGUAGCCUCGGUUAAAGGCACAGGUGCCUUCGCAGACGGAGAGGAAACGUUCCCGGCAAUCCCUGGAGAGCGAGGCCCAGACUCUACCACCAACGCAGAUGCAACC